rnacentral:lncRNA from 1 species
CUUAGGAUAUAAAAAUUUUAGAACCCCUUUGGAUGCGAUUUUUGGAAGUUACCCCAUGGAUAUCUUUAUACCCCCUUUAGGAUAUCGUUUUUACCCCCUUGGAUAUCACUAAAACACCUAAUUUUUGCCAUUUUUUUGAAAAUCUCUUAAGCUACCCUCUAGGAAAAUUUAAGGUAAAAACUCCCUCCCCCCCCCCAUAGGGUAUCCAGACCCCUCAAU